GUAGAGCAGUUUGGUAGCUCACGAGGCUCAUAACCUUGAGGUCACGGGUUCGAUUCCCGUCUCCGCAC
rfam:Hordeum vulgare subsp. vulgare, WGS project CAJW01000000 data, contig: morex_contig_1504973